rnacentral:misc_RNA from 1 species
AAGUCGUAACAAGGUUUCCGUAGGUGAACCUGCGGAAGGAUCAUUAUCGAGUUUUUGAAAAGAAGGUUGUAGCUGGCCUUUUCGGGGCAUGUGCACGCCUUUGACUCUUGACACCUGUGCACUCUUUGUAGGGUUGGUAAAUCAUCUUGAUAUACCGUCCUAUGUGUUUAUUACAAACUAUUGUUGGAUUUGAAUGUGACUUGCGCUUUAAUAACGCAUUAAAUAUAACUUUCAGCAACGGAUCUCUUGGCUCUC